rnacentral:rRNA from 1 species
CCUACGGGAGGCUGCAGUGAGGAAUAUUGGUCAAUGGGCUUACGCCUGAACCAGCCAAGUCGCGUGAGGGAAGACUGCCCUAUGGGUUGUAAACCUCUUUUGUCAGGGAGCAACGCCGGCUACGUGUAGCCGGACUGAGAGUCCCUGAAGAAAAAGCAUCGGCUAACUCCGUGCCAGCAGCCGCGGUAAUCCGGAGGAUGCGAGCGUUAUCCGGAUUUAUUGGGUUUAAAGGGUGCGUAGGCGGAAUGCCAAGUCAGCGGUAAAAUCGCGGGGCUCAACCUCGCUCCGCCGUUGAAACUGGCGGUCUUGAGUGGGCGAGAAGUAUGCGGAAUGCGUGGUGUAGCGGUGAAAUGCAUAGAUAUCACGCAGAACUCCAAUUGCGAAGGCAGCAUACCGGCGCCCAACUGACGCUGAAGCACGAAAGCGUGGGUAUCGAACAGGAUUAGAUACCCGGGUAGUC